GAUGAAAUCAUAUAGGAAGUUUAUUUCUUUUUUAUAAGAAUUAUCUUAUUAGGGUUUAGGUUUGACUUCCUAAAUAAGGAGGCUAGUUCUACCAAGUAGAAGAUGGCUGAGAGUGCUUUGAUAUUUAUUAUUUUUCUUCCUCUAUCUUCUUCUAUUUUUUUCUUGUGAAUUUUUAUUCCACCAUGUGUGGCUAAGUUUUUAAUUUUUGAUUCAAGAGUGAAUAAAUUUCAAUUGUGAUUUUGUGAGGCUUUGUGCUUAAUAGAAUUCUUCUUUAAUUCAAGUAUUCUUUAUUUCUUAUUUUUACUUUUUAUCAAUUUUUUAUAUUGAUUAAACUGACGACUCAACUUUGAUAUUGAUUUUUCUAUUGCUAAACUUUGAGUUUGUGAUCUGUAAUUGUCAUAAACAAUUGACACAAGUAGCAAGGAGCUGACUCAUGUGUGUGUGAUUGUGGCCUUUUCGAAUUACAUAGCUUGCAUGAUAUGCUCUAGGGAAAUAAAGGAAUAAAGUUAAUUCAAUUGCAGCUAUCUCAUUAAUUAAUGUUGGUUUAGUCAUUCUCAUUAUUCUUAAUGCUAUCAUUGAGUUG
rnacentral:lncRNA from 1 species